rnacentral:rRNA from 1 species
GACGAACGCUUGCGGCGUGCCUAAUGUAUGCAAGUCGAGCGGGGAGCAAUCCCAGCGGCGAACGGUUGAGUAACACGUAGGCAACCUGCCUCGAAGUGGGGGACAACCCAUGGAAACGUGGGCUAAUACCGCAUGUGGCCGGAGGAGGCAUCUCUUCUGUGCUAAAGGCGCAAUUCGCUUCGAGAGGGGCCUGCGGCCUAUCAGCUUGUUGGUGAGGUAACGGCUCACCAAGGCGACGACGGGUAGCUGGUCUGAGAGGAUGAUCAGCCAGACAGGGACUGAGACACGGCCCUGACUCCUUUGGGGGGCAGCAAUGAGGGAUAUUGCACAAUGGGCGAAAGCCUGAUGCAGCGACGCCGCGUGGGCGAUGAAGUCUUUCGGGGAUGUAAAGCCCUUUUCUCAGGGAAGAUACGGACGGUACCUGAGGAAUAAGCCCCGG